rnacentral:lncRNA from 1 species
AUACUUUAAGUUUUAGGGUCUGAGGUACCGGGUUCAUCUCACUAGGGAGUGCCAGAAAGGAGCUUUUUUCUUACAGAGAAAUUCCAAAAUAUAUGCUACUGGAAAUGGAGGGCAAACUGCCCAACUCACAGGAUAUUAGAAGGGGUAUACUUGAAUUAUGUGGUUAAGGAUUUAUGGUUGAAAGUAACAGUAGCCCAAAGUUGAGUUUCCCUGAGUGUAGGUAGAUUCUUCCUCAAGGAAGAACUUGAAGGGCAAGACCAGUUAUAGGAGGCUCUGGUUUCCCUGGAGUGUAGUUAACUCCUUUCAAUUCUCCUAACCAUUAAGACUGAAUGUUAAUGUCUGCUAGCAUCUGCAGUAUGAACUAAAUUGUCACAAAACUACCACAUGCUAUGAUUCUUUACUUACUCAAACUCUGCUAUAGCCUAAGGUCUCUCUUCAUGCAGGGGCUUCCAUUGAGAACAGUGUGGAUUUAGUAAUACAUUUAAUUGGAAUGUUUAAUAAGAAGUUAGAGCCUUUUUUUAAUCUUGGAAAAGGCAUCAAUCUUGAGAACACCAGAUGUGAAUAUCAUUUUAACAAGAGAAUUUUCACUUUGCUUGUAUCUUCCAAAGCAUGGAGAUUCUCCUUUGAAGAUAUUCAUUCUAUAGAAUAUUGUCAGCAAUAUAAAGGUAGAAGAAUAGUUGAGUUUGACUACAGAUAAGCCAGGUUAAAAAUACAGAAAGCACUUGAUGAAAAUCAUGAGUUGUUAGGAUUCAAAUUAUAGAGCUCCAAUAAGGACCCCUGAACACUGAUUUUUCAGGCACAUUACCAAAGGUACUAUACUGAGGUGGUAUAUGAUGUCACUUGGUGGGCUUCACUCAAGUGUUCAUUUGAAGUUUGAUUCCUUACUCACCUACCAUAACUGAUUGAUAGAAACAUAGAUCUCCAAUUGACUUUAGUUUCUGCUCCACAGAUCUGUUAUGAAUCUCACUGAGAAUCUAAGAUACAGUUGUAAAGUAUAGUUGAAGAGUUUUGGUUUCUAUGUAUAGUCCAACUAAGCACCUCAGAGCACUGAUUGCCAAUUGCAAUCCUCUAAGUUGUGUUGAGAAAAGAAAAAUAAGUUAUUUCACCUUCAGUUUCCAUGAAAUAGGAUGAAGUUACUAUAAUCAGGCAAAUGUCAGUGUAACUCCUUUUACCUAAUGGUUUUGGUUAAAUUAAUUAUCUAUCUAAUAUAUGUGUCACCUUCCUUCAGAGCAAAUAUUCAUAGGAUUUGACCAUCUGAGGCACAAUUAGUCUUUUUUUGAGGAUGCAGGUGGGAAGCACACCUGUAAUUAGUCCUUGCAGGGCAUUUGUCUAUACCUGAAAUUAUUUGCAGGUGUUAAGCAUGUGCUUAUGAAGAAGGGAACUAGGUAUCUGAGGUCCAGAAAAAAAAUUGCCUCUUAAUUUUAAUAUUAUUUUCUCUCUUCCUUAUGUCUUGAUUUCUUGGAAAGCAAAUGCAUCUAGUUUUAACUUAAUGUCCUGAAUGACUGACUGCAAACAGGAGGUAGAAAUGGAGCUUUGGCUCUUUUAUGUGGUUCAUGUAAGUAUUCUCUCUAGCUCUGAGGAUCUACUUAUAUUUGACCCUUUUAGGAAAAAUGCUGUAAGGUUUUCCAGUUUUGAGGAUAAAAUUGCUCAUUAAAAUCUGUGAUGUGUAGCACUUUAAUGAAUGUUAGCCACAUUUUAAGGCUAUUGUUAUAUAGCUCUUAGUGUUCCCAGGAUUCCUAAUAAAGAGCAAAAUUAUCUAAACUAUUUAAUGAUUACUAGUGGGUAUUGGCCCUUUUCUGUCCUCUCUUCAUUGUGUCAAUAAAAUAGAGUUGUGCAGAGCUGCUCUAAUCAGCUUAGAGUGCUAAUUCAUUGCGCCGGGAUGCUAUCUGUGUUUGGCUACAGAUAACUGAGUUGGAGGCAAUUUUAGCAUUAGCUAUCUCUUAUAAACAGCCAAAUCCUUUGGCCAUGCUUAGGCUUAUGUAGCAUGAAUUAUUCAAUGAGAAGGAAAAAAGCAGUGUUUUAGCAACUUGUUUUGGUGAUUUUUAUUUUUAUGAAAAUAAAUUGUAGCCUCGUGGGAUAAAUCAACAAUGUAACUUCCCUUUUGGGGAGAGGCUCUAAGUCACAUCAGCAUAGUUUUGGUCCAGACAGCAAAGCUCUAACCCUCAUUCAGCUCAAAUGGGCCACCAAAGAGAGCAGAGAGAGAUAAGAUUGUGUACUUGAGAGGGACAUUUUUAAUCAAGAAAUUGUCAUCUCUUCUUAGGUCAUCUAUUUCCCUAAUUCUUUUCUGCGUUGAAUAGCUUCGUUGCAAGAAAAAUGUUGGUGAAAUGAUUUGGUCCUGAGUCCUAUUGCAGAAUGCUCUGAGUAUGGGCUCAAAUGCCUAUUGGACAAAAUGAAGUUGGUUUGUCUUUACUGUUUAUUAUGAUUGUCACUUCUAAGCUUUACUAUGAUGUUUAUGAUUAUUUCACUCCCUGAAUGAAUAGGAUAUGAAAUUAGACAUUAAAAAUUUUAGUGGUGGAAUAAAAUUGUUGGUUUGGUUUUUCUGCUACCACUAACUCUUAAGGCCAUACUUUUCCCCCCAACAAGUUUCAGAAAAAAAAUAUUGCAAGGAAUAUUUAUGUGCUUUGAGUUUUUACGUUAGACAACUCCACAGUUAAACUACCACAUCAGAGUCAAGAAGAUAAUUUCAUAGUAAAGUUAGCUAAUUACUGAGAUAGCUCCUUUAAUAUGUGACUCCCACUUGUAGAUACCUAGCCCACAUAUGUCUUUUCUGGUGUGAGAGAUUGUUUUUAUAAAAUUGUUAAAAAUGACCGGUUUUAAGAAAUUAUUAACUUCCAUUAAUAUAUUUCUUUAAAUCUAACUCAGUGAUCUUCUAUUAGAACUCAAUUAUUUUCUGCCUUACAGGAAAAUCUACUUGUUUUAAAUAUUAGUAACUACGGCUAUGUAAAAUGAAAUGUAAAAGAAACAAAACGUAUCAGAUUUGAAUGAUUCUCCUUUCCCUGUUUUAGCUAAAAAAUAAAAAUAAAAACAUCACUUUUACUUAGUUCUGUAGUUGGCCUCCACAAAACAAUUUCUAGAAUAAAUGCUUAUCCUUCCUAAAUAAGAGGUCAUUGUUGCAGUUUUCCGUGAAUCAAAGAUGAAUAGGGUCCAUCUAUUAUCAAUUCCUCAAUCAGAGAAAAAAGGAAAUUAAGUUCCUAAUUAGGUGAAUUUGGACUAAAGAGGUGGGGCAUUGAAGGGAUAAGGAAAAUUGAGAGGUAGUUGAUGCCAUUUCAGACUAAUGAUAGGAGAGGAAAUGAAGAUGGGGGUGGUAGGAGUUGAGCUUGAAAGGUCAGUGACCUUAUUAGGACAAGAGUAGUGGUAGAUCUUCAAAAGCUUUUACCUGCAAUAGGCUGACAAGGCGUCAGGUUCUGGGGAUGGUCAAAGAUUCAAACACUUGAGAAAGAGUGUGGUAAAAAUAAGAUUACAUAUUUUAAUAAGGGAUACAUUUGAAUAUUAUUAACAAAAGAAAAAUGACCGUUAUCAGCUUUGUAAUUAUAAUUUUUGCUGAAUCAUUUUUCUAUGUACUUUAAAACAUUCAUUUUAGGUAUUAACUGGGUUUACUUUAAUGUGGAAUAGAUAAUGCUUCUUUUGAGGGUUAGACUUCACUGUUAGCAUAAUGAAUAGUUCUCUUAUAUUAAUACCUACUAGAAAGAUACAUAAAUACAUUACUGUGUAGAUUUAUCACCUUAGAUACAAAAUUGCAAUUAUUGACUAAAAUAUCUAUCAUAUAGAUAUGCAAUACUUUUUUAUGUAGACAAAACUUUGAUUUUUCCUUAAUAAUUAAAUUAUCCAGGUAUUCAUUGACAAAAAUAUGUUAAGAUUUGAUCUUUAGCCACAGUCCUUCAGAAGUUCUUCAGCAAAGGGAUUGUCAGAAUAAAGUGGGUACAUCUAUAUUAAGAAACAAAAGAUAAUUUAUAUAAAAAAAUCUUUUCAUUAAUGUGUUUUUCUAAAUUUUUAAAAUAUAAACAUUGUAAAGAAUAUAAUGAAUGAAUAAUUCUGGUGUUCAGGAAUGUAAAUCGGAUUAGUUAGAUGAGAAAAUUAUGAGAUUUGGGGCAAUUUUUAAGCUCUUUAGGUUAUAUGUGGGUUACUAGUACUAUAAUUUUAUGAAACAACACUUUUUAACAUUUAGUGUUCUUUAUUGAGUAGCAUGGGUGCUUCAGAGAUGGCUUUGACCUGGAUAUUUUUAUCCAGAAAACAAGAGAUUUUUGUUUUAUUAUGAAAGACCCCCAGUAAAUAAAAUAUUUCAGAGUCUUUCCACUUUAAUUCUCUCUGUGGUAAAUACACAGCCAUAGACCUGUUAUUACUUUACCAUCCGAUAGAGAUAUAACAUGAGUCACAUAAGUAAUUGAAAAUGUUGUAACAGCUGCAUUUAUAAAAAGUAAAAAAAAGGUAUAAUUUAAAUAAUAUAUCUAACCAGAGGAUCCAAAAUAUUGUAAUUUCUAAAUGCAAAAACUAAAUGACUGAAAUACUGUACCUAUUUUGUACUAAAAUCUUUGAAAUCUGGUAUGUAUUUCACACUUAUAACACCUCAUAAUUUGGACUAGCCACAUUUCAAGCACUUAGUAGCUGCAUGUGGCUACUGGCUAUUGUAUUCUACAUAGCCUUGGAAAAUCUCGAAGACUCAAUCUUUUACAGUGUGAUUCAGCUCAAUGUUAGUUAUGACAGAGAAGGAAGCACUGAAAGCCACUGUGGAGCCAUCUGGCCCAGCCUACUCAUUUUAUAAAUGAGGACACUGAAGGUCAAGAAGGGUCAGUUACUUGCUCAAGGUCACCCAACUACUUUGGGGGUAGAGCUUAGACCAGGUUCCAAGUCUCUUCCUGAAUUUUAAUUUAUUUUUAGUUCUGUUAAAAUAUGCUGCUUUUGUUGGCUGCUUAUGUAAAGGUGUUGACAUGUGAAGUGUAAGAGAAUAACAAGCACAAAACCAACUAACAACCAAAUAAACAAAAUAGGGAAUUGUUCAGAUAGUCUUGAAACUUUGAAUGUUGAAGGAAUACCACUCAGAGGCCUGUCAUCCACACAGAAUUUCUAAUAGAAAUUUUCUUUUUCAAAGUGAACUCAUCUACAUUUGAAUCAGAAGAAGGGAAGGUUCUGCCAAUUUUCCAUGGCUGUGCUAACCAACCAUGGAACUAUAUAUGGAACUAUAUGCUGAGAGCAGCAUAUAGAAGUCCCUAUUUCCCCACUCUUACACACCAGCAUGGUGUGUAACUAAGUAGUGUCUUGGAGUAUUUUAAAUUUUUUUUUAUAGUAAGAGUGAGGUUAAGCAUUUCUUUUCAUGUAGUUAAGGAUCAUGUGUAAUUUUUUUUUAUUCUUUAAAUUGUCAUUGAAGUGCAUUUUUUCCCCCUGUGGCUUGCUGACAUAAAAUGACUUACCCAUGGUCACAUAUCUAGUUAGCUACCGAGGCAGGACUAGAAUUCAGCUAUCGUGGUUAUUAAUUUGGUAAUUUAAUAUUUCUUACUGUAGUACAUUAAGAAUAAUACGUUAUCAUUUGAAUCCUCCCAACCUUGGGUUAUUGUUAGGAUCAUAUGAAAUAAGUUAGAAUGUGAAACAACAUUUUCAAAAUUAAAAAGAGACCUGCAGAAUGUAUGAUGAUGGUUCAUUUAAUUUUACAAAGAAAUCACAAGAUUUACCACUUUGAAAAUAUGCAGUUCAUAAUGAAAACAGAAUAAAUAGUUUGACCUGGCUGCAGUCUGAGAGAGGAAAAUACUAAUAUUUAUAAUAUUUAUCAAAAUGCAAUGAGAUUUUAUAUUAUUUCCAACAAUUUUAAGAACUCGCCAAUUUUAUGUCUUCAGGUUAGAAAAAUAAGUUAUUUUGUAUUAGAAAAGCAAUACUUUGAGUCUCCUUUGGUAAGUUUAAAGCAAAAGUUUGUUGGCAUUUUGAAUGUCAACAAUGUUUAAUAAUUUCAAGGAUGGUACUGCAAAAUGUUUGACUAAUUUAAGUAUGUUCCAACCAUAAGCAUUUUAUCUCCUUAACAUGUCAGGUUGGUCCCUUAAAAAGAUUUAUUGAAAUUAAUAUGUUCUGUAGAGUUGAGCGCCAGUGUAUAUUUUUACAUAUGGAGAAGUAAAUUUAAAAUUGUACAGUACAUAAAAGGUUUUGAAAACAGUUAUAAAGACUUAUUUAGGCAGUGAUUUAAAUUUAAAUUAACAGCAACACUGACAAUUUUCUAUUUGUUUAGCUAUUAACGAAGCUAUUUAACAAAAUGUUUUGUAGACUCCAGUUCUUAGACUUUUUUUCUUUUUUAAAAAAAUACAACAUUCCUUUUUGAUUCUGGCGAGUCAGGAGGAAUUCCUACUCUGAAGACAGAGCCAGAGUACAGAGUUAAUGUGCAGCAGUGGCCUUCUUCCUUGGACCCUAAGAUGCUGGAGCCACUCACUGCACUUUUCAAGCAGCUGCCAACAUUGUCAGCACUGAUCUGUCAGUAAGGAUUUCUCCUGGCAAAACUCUGAAGCUACUUUCUGACAUCUUCAACAAACUAAUUGUUGUCUCCUGCCUCUGCGAGCCCUCUGAAGUCCCAACGAGUUAGUGUCUUCUCAAGAGAUGAGAAAAAGGACUCACAAAAUCAACUUAUCAGGCUAUUACGCAUUGUCAUCAGCCAAAACAAAAACCUGCUAAAGACAGGAGAAAAAGUAGAAGAAAUGGGUCUCUGAGAAAAGGUUACAGAACAUCCAUCUUCUCUCCUCUUCUGAUUGUUUCCUUUCUUUGCCCAUUUUCAUACCCGUUUCCCUCUGUUAAAAGACACUUUAUGACAAGCAUUGUAAUCUCUUUAGAACGGAGGGGAACCUCUUCUUUAGGACACAAUCUUUGCAAGUUGUGAGUGACAGUGGGAAAGGGUCCAAUUGCCACUGAGGACACCAGGCAAUAAAUCAUCCUCCCCUGGCAUCAGCUGGCUGGACGAAUCCCCACUUCCUGAGUAAGUACCAGGGCCUAGAUGUGACAAAACAGCUAUUGUCAGCUCCUAGUGGCCACAUUCCCACUUUCUCUCUACUGAGAUUUUCCGUUUACUCGAGACUUUUAGUAGUGCAAACCAUAUUGGGAAGAAAUAUUCAAAUAACUACCAUUAGAAAGUGAAAUAUCUGAGAGUUGGAUAAUUAUAAUAUUCAUCUAAGAGCAACAAUUAUUAGAGGAAACCUUCUGUUUUCAUUUUACAUAUCAUCAAGCAGUUGCUUUAUCACCAUUAAAAGUGGCAUGUCUUUUCAUUUUUUAAAUGUUUGAUAUAUAGAGUAGUUCUCAAAAUGACUUUAUAAGAGCAAUGUGCAAAAGAUCAGGUAAAAAUUUUAUAAAUAAUAUGAAAAGAUAGAUUGCUGUAGUGAUAAUUUUAUAAUUUGGUAGAGUUAGGGCAUUUUCAAAUAGACACUUUUCUUUGCAGUGAUUAAGUUUAGAUAUACUAUUAUUAUUAAUAUGCUUGUAAAAUACUGUAAGGGGUAAGCUGAGUUCCAGUUAUUUCAUGUGUAGUUAAAAACCAUUCAAAAAUCCCA